rnacentral:lncRNA from 1 species
GUAUUGCCCGGGCUGGAGUGCAGUGGUGUGAUCUCGGCUCACUGCAGACUCCACCUCCAGGGUUCAAGCGAUUCUCCUGCCUCAGCCUCCCGAAUUUUUAAAUGUACAAAUAUAUUUGAUUUUUUUUUUUUUUUGAGACAGCGUCUCGCUGUAUUGCCCAGGCUGGAGUGCAGUGGCGCAAUCUCGACUUAUUGCAACCUCUGCCUCCCGGGUUCAAGCGAUUCUCGUGCCUCAGCCUCCCAAGUAGCUGGGAUUACAGGCAUGUGCCACCACACCUGGCUAAUUUUUUUUGUAUUUUUGGUAGAGAUGGGGUUUUGCCAGGUUGGCCACGCUGGUCUCCAACUACUGACCUCAGGUGAUCCACCCACCUUGGCCUCCCAAAGUUCUGGGAUUACAGGUGUGAGCCACUGCCCUGGGCCUUAUUUGACAUUUAAAAGUAAUUUUAUAAACGAUUCUUAUUUAUAUUGUAUAAAUUACUACAUGUAUUACAACCUGGUUAAAAUAUCUCUGGAGCAACAGAAAGAUAACUGGAUUUUGGUUUUCAUUCUUAAACGCUUCUUAACUGAAAACAAAUACACAUUAAAAAAUGGGAUUUAAAGAUGGGCAAGCACAGUUUGGACUGGAAAUUCAUGGAGAUAUGAAUAUAAUCUUGUUACAAUAAGAGGUGUUUUUAUACUCACAAGAAACAUAAAUUAUUUGUAUAUAGCUAGCAUGGUAAAAGUAAUUGCUCAAUAUUCCAAAACUCCAAAAACUCCAAUGUUUCUACACAGAUUCAAUGAGUUAUCAGCAAACAAGAGAUAGAUUCCUGUACUUUCCACAUGAUUACUGUUGUAAGAAUCCAGUGAAUGUAUACUAGUAUUGACUAUAGUUGUCACUGCCAAAAGAUGACUAAAUAUGUAUACAGUAUAAAAG